UACGGAGGGUGCGAGCGUUGUCCGGAAUCACUGGGCGUAAAGGGCGCGUAGGCGGCCUGAUAAGUCGGGGGUGAAAUCCUGCGGCUUAACCGCAGGGCUGCCUUCUAAACUGUCAGGCUAGAGCACAGUAGAGGCAGGUGGAAUUCCCGGUGUAGCGGUGGAAUGCGUAGAGAUCGGGAAGAACAUCGGUGGCGAAGGCGCUCUACUGGACCACAACUGACACUCAGGGACGAAAGCUAGGGGAGCGAAUGGG
rnacentral:rRNA from 1 species